CUUACCUGUGUAGAAGGAAUGGCAGACAUGUGCAUUGUCUGAAUGUAAUCUGCUAGCAUCCACUUGGAAGCAUCAAAGAGGCAAUGCCGCGAUGCAGUCUGUGGUCGAAGACAGGAAAUCUUUAUCCGAAAAGCUUCAUGUCAUGGCAUCCACCUGUGGCAGAUGAUUCACAACUACAACCUGUCAGAGGGAAAAUGCUGACAGGUAGCAACCAUCUCCACCAGAAUGACUUGACCCAACUAAAGCUGAGACAAAGGCUAAGGAGGUGCAGUAAACGCCCAGUGUGUCACCGGUCAGUCGUCCGUGUGUGUUGCUGUGGUGUGCCCCAGCGACAUGAGGCCUGGCCAUCAGGCUGCUGGGCUGUAGAUGGGGUGGCGGUCGUAAAGCGAAGCUCUGCUGACAGCGCUGAUGGAUGGCCGACCCCGGGGGCUGCUGGGAUGUGCUGUAACCACGACGUAAAGGACCAACAGUAAUACACAGAGAGGGGGCUGCCUCCGUUGUUUCAGCGUUCGCAUUCUUUUCGGCUGAGAGAGAAUACAUUUCUCAAACAUUGAAUACAUUUCUCAAAUAUUUACCACAAA